UACUACGGACAAGCCGAAUUGCAAUCAUAGUCCCAUUGCUUCCAACCAUUUUUCUUUUUUCUUUCAGGUACAGCUUCAAGAGCUUCGUGUUAAUUCGUGAACAAAUUUUUAAAUUGUUUUAUGUCACAAUUCUCGAAUGGAUCGAGAAUUUUUAUUGGUUCCCGAAGGAAAAUACGUAAAUCAAACGACCAAAGAAUAUGUUUGUUUUUACGUAAAAUAUACAACUUUUCGAGCAAUAUGCUUCUUAUCAGUCUAUUUUUUCUCUCUCUUUCUUCCGUAUAUUAUAUAUCGUUUUUUUCACUCUCUCUUUUCUUUUCCUUCUUCAAAUUCUAUUUUAGCAUAAUUUUACAAAGCUUUUGUUAUUUAUAAAUAAAAUUAUAAUACGAAAAUGUAUUCUUGAUUUAGAAAAUGUCCUUUUAAUUCUUCAAUUUAAUAUAAAAAUUUACUCAAAGCUUUACGCAACUUAUUCUAGCCCACCUUUUAACUCAUACUAUCGAUGAAACACUGUAUAAUUUGCGUUCAGCUGUUCGUUCUCGUACAUUCACUCAACAAACGACGAUACAUUCGAUGACUAGUUUGAAAAAUUCUUGAUGUUGAAAUACAGCGUUAGAUUGAACAACGACUGUACAAUAAUUUUUUACUUUUGAACUGAAGAAAAACCACCACCCGGCUUCUCUCACAGCCAAAGGGCACGCGAGCUGCCAGAACUCUCCGAAAAUUACCUCGUUUCGCUCAUUUCAAAGCCAACCGAGAUCUGACCAGAACGAUGGCGCGCGACGUUAUUAUAUACUGUGCUUGACGUCACGACUACGCGGCAUCAUGAUUGGAAGUUGCUAUGAGCUCCGACCAAUCAACUCACUUACUGCGUGAAAUUCGAACGGUGUACGCUCGCUCGUUCACUUGAGAGCUUUUCAUUGCCGUCAUCUCGGAUAAACGUUGGAAAGGCCAGACAAUAUAUACUAUAGAUGAAGAAACGUGAUUCAUCGAUAUACGAAGAAAAACCUAUGAAAUACCUAUGCAUCUUUAAUCACUCAUUCCGUUUAUGACUCUUGUCGUUACUUCUUUGAAAGAUAAGUGUUGUUUAAUUUUUUUUUCUUCUCUUCGAUUUCUUUCUUAAAAUUCAUAAAUAUAGUAUUUGACAAAGACAGUGAAAAAUGAUGAAAUAGACAUUAUACGAACAUCUAAUAAAAUUGUUAAAUUAAAAAAAAUUGUAACUAGAAAAUUUAUUAGAGUUUUAUUUCGUUUCUUUCUAGUUUUAAAUGAAUUUGUUUUCAUUUUUUUAAUUUCAUUUCUAAUGUGGAUCACCUUGUAAGACAUUCAUUUUCUUGAUCAUUGGCAUUUAACAAGUUUCAAUUAUGAUAUUUACUUACUUGUUUUGUUCAUAUAACGUCAACAUAAAUUAAUGACGUUAUUUCUUUGUUGACUGCUUUUUUAUACUAUGACGUAGUGUUUGCACUCGAUAGAAGUAUGAACCAAAUACAUUGUUAUUCGUAGAUAAAUCGCACGCGUGCAAGAUAAAGAGAGGAAAAGAGAAAGAAAGAUAUGACCUUAAUUGGAUAGAGCUUUAGUAGAUGAAUGCACGCUAUUUGUUGAUGCAUGUUCAAUGAAACACGAUUAACGUGCUUAAAAAGACUGUUGAACUCCAUCCAAUUGUACACUUUCUUUCAAUAUAUUUUAUAUCUUCUUUCUUUACAGAUUUCUUUUGAGAUUUCAUUGGUCUAAUUUUUACAUUUUGUUAUUAUAUCUAUUGGAUGAAUUUUGUUAUCUUAUUUCUUUUUUUUAUUUUUUUUUUUUGUUUUCUAUCGUUUUGAAAAGAAGCUCUUGAAGUUGUAUCAAUAUCAGUAAUUUUAAUAUAUUUUUGUUGAUUGAAUAAUUUUAAAAUUUUAAAAAUUAUUUUUAUUUUACACAUAAAAUACUGUGAAUAUUUAGAUUUCAUUUAUUGAUUAAUUCAAGAUACUUAUAUGUACAUCUACAUUCAAAAAUAUAAAGAAAUUAUUAUAUUCGCUUCAAAAGUGAAAAAAAUUAAAUUAUAAUUGAAUAUAGAGAAAUUUAUUUUAUAUAAUAUUUAUAUUAUUCAAAAAUAUAAAAAAACAAAAAAAUGCACACAAUUUAAUAUUAAUGAUUUAUAUAGAUAAAUCAUACAGAUAUUAAAGUUUUAUUAAAAAAAAAGUAUCAUAAAAUUUUUGAACGGAAAUAUACUAUAUGUAUCUAUAUGUAUAGAUAAAUAAAUAGAUAAAAUAAAUAUGAUAUACAAUAUUAAUACAAGAUGUCCCGUAUUUAUUAACAAAGAGAAAAAAGUAAUACUUCAUAAAAAAAGUGAGUAAAAAAUAUAAAAAAAAUAUCGUUUUAUUUCAAACUUGACGGAUUCGAAGUCUAAAGAAAAUUAUUUCAAUAAGAUCAUUGAUUAAAAUACUACAAUUUUAUUCAUUGAAAAUAAUAAAAUAAAAAUGAUUAUCCUCUUUAACUUCUUUUUUAUCUAUUCAAUUUUAUUUUCUGUAUUCUAAUAUACUAUUUUAUUGUAAUCUGUUUCUUAUUUUUAUACAUAUUUUAUUUUAUAUGUUUAUUUAUUAUAUUACAUAUAUUUAUCAAUAUUAUUAUAUUAUUAUAUUUUAAAAAACUAAUGAAACUAAUUCCAUUUUUUGCAUUUCUGAAAUUUCAUUCAAUUUUAUUAUUUUAUUAAAUUCGCUAUUGUUAAAGCUAGCUUUCGAAAAAAUUAAAUUAAAAAGUUUGAAUAACUAAUUUUUGAUUGAAUAUAUUCGAACUGAAUUUUUUGAUAAAUAAAAAAAUUUUUGAAUAAAAAAA